CAUGAGGGAAAGAACAAGAGAUGGAGAUGGGGAGGUAGAGAUGAGAAAAGGAAGGAGAAAGCAUGGGGAUGGGGAGGAAAAAUAUAAGGGAUGAGAUGGGGAGGGACAGGACAAUAUGUGGAGAUGGGGAAGAGGAGAGGUAAAGGAGAAGGGAUGAAGGAGAAAAGGAGAAAGGAUACACAUGGGGAGGAGAAGAAGAAGGGAUGGAGAUAGGGAGGGGAAGGAGAAAGAAUAGAGAGGGAAGGAGAAGAGAUGGAGAUGGGGGAGAGGAGAAGUAAAGAGAAGGGAUGAAGGAGAAAAGGAGAAAGGAUAGAUAUGGGGAGGGGAAGAGGAAGGGAUAGAGACGGGGAGAGGGCAUGAAGUUAGGGAGAGAAAGAAGGGAUGAAAAUGGGAAGGUAAGGGACAAGUGAUGCAGAUGGGGAUAAGAAAGGAUGGAGAAGGAGAUGGAGUUGGAGAGAAGUAGGAGACGGGAUGGAGACGGGAAGAAGAGAUGGAGAUGGGGAAAGGAAGGAGAAGGGACGGGAAUAAGAGAUGAAGGGGAAUAGAGGAAGAGGAGAUGGGGUAUCAUAGAUCACCCAGCCUCCUCCUGUUACAGAGACUCAAAGAGGGUGGUGCCUAGCCCAAGGUCAUGCAACUGACCCACAGCAAAGGUGUGACUUGAACCCACUCCCGGGGGCUUAGAGUCCAGGGCUCUUCCUCCAGCCCACGCCGCAGCACCGGGGGAGAGGGGUCUAGUGACCAAAGAGGGAGGGUGGACACCGCGAAGGGUAUCAAAGGCCGAGCCGGCGGCUCCCACCCAAUCAGUCGGGCUCUCACAGAGGACAGAGAGGAGCGCUCACCUUGCGGGUCCUGGCCCCCGCCCCUGCCCCAUUCUCUAGAUCGCACUCACCUGGGGGGCUGCGGCUCCGGCUCCGGCUCUUGCUCCCGACUCCGGCUUUUCCUUCCCGCCCUCUCCCGAGGGUGAGUUCAGAGCCUCCGAAUCCCGCUCACCCAGGCAGGUUCCGCCCGCAGCAUCUCCACCUCGUGGGACUCCCUAGGCCACGCCCUCUCCGGUUUUCCAUUGGCGCUCAGGGUCAUCCCUCACAUUCCCAUUGGUCGCAUAUCCGCCAGUCAUGCAAAUCAGGACGGACCAAUCACCGCAACGAUUGGGUGACACCCUUCGGUCGGGCUUCGGCGGCCUGGGCUCUGAUUGGCCUACAGCGGCCGCGGCCCCUGAUGACGGAACUGGUGGGGGCGGGGUCUCGGCCUGGACCAACUCCGGCCUUCCUAGUCCGCCCACCUUGGACCCGCUCGCCCGGUGGCGGGUGGAAGCGGCAACCUCCCCUUAGGUCUCCAGACCGGUCCAGAAGACAUGCACCUCAGUUGAAGAAACUGAGGCAGACAAAGGUGAAGUGACUUGCUCAGAGUCACACAGCUGGUAAGUGUCUGAGGCUGGAUUUGAACUUGGAUCUUUCAGACUCCACCCACUGCACUUCUUAGCUGCCUUAAUAAAUUUGGCCAUGUCACUCCUAGCUUAGUGAGC
ensembl:lncRNA